UGACGCCUUUUGACGCCACCCCCUUUACUCCAUAAUGACGCCUUUUGACGCCUGUGUAGUACCUCAGUUGAAAUGCUUUGACUCCAAAAUGUCUGCAUCAGACUUUAAAAAAAAUGUAUGCAAUAUAAAAAGGAGAUUCAUGAGAAUAUCUGACUUCAAUUUCAUUGAUGAAAUAUUCAUUUUCACAAUGCAUUAACACUUUAAACCUUAUGAUUUUUUUU
rnacentral:lncRNA from 1 species